AGCGGUGCCAUGCAGAUCCUAUUUUUGUAAUUUCCCGUGAAAUAUGAGGCCGCUGCAGAUUUAAUUAUAUUGAUUCCUACAAUAUUUUUUAUGCUCUACAAGGUGACAAUGUCCAUUUUGCUCUUCCUCCGUGCGUCGCUCUCGGUAACAUUAACCUAAUGCACUCCUUACAAAGAGUUCGCAGUAAAUCCUUUUAAUACGUAUUUGCUUAUGAGCGUCUGUGUUGAAAGGAGCAGACUCCUAAAUAGGAUGUGAGUAGAAAAUUGCCGGAGAGGGAAGUAGGAGUCUCAAGAAAGAACCAAAACUUGAUAUUGGAAAUGUAGACGAAAGCAGAAGAGGAAAUGGGUCGUGACGUCGCCAAGGUGGGUAAGACGCCCCUCAGUUGGGUCGUCGCCAGAGAUGAUGUACCGUAAAAAAGAGAACUAUAUUAAUAACAAAUGAGAAAAAAGGCAAGUUCAUGAAACACGAUUGAAAGAGAAAGUCUUACCAUAAAUUAUAGUUAUACAAGCAUGACAUGCCAUAGCCAUACUGAGAGAAUAUGUAGAGGAUAUACAUACAAAAAUGUAUUGAGAAGGUAUGGUUAACCAAGAGAAGUGCAAGUGAACAAGUAAGUAACCCAAAGCCAUGUAUAUACACAGACAUGCAUACAUUAUAAUACAAUGAAUGAAUUCUAAACAUGUCUAGUGGUUACUCGUGGCUCAUCCCAAGCCGGUCUGUAACCCACUUCAGAAGAAAUGCCCCUCUGUUGUCUGUAGAUACCGAGAGCUAAUAACGAUCGUGCAUGUAGUGGAAAAAUUAUGCAGCAUUCUCAGACCAAAGAUGUGUGUAUUGGUCUCCCCCAUAUACACAAAAAAUGCACUGGGGGAGGAUUGUGACAUACAUGGCCUUAUUAGUUUCCCGAGGGAGGCAAAGUUUUUAAACAAAAUUUAAUCAUGCAUAAUAUUUAUGCAAUGAGUUUAUACUUUUCAAGCAUAAUAUUUAUGCUUUGAUUUUAAUAUGAUAUUUGUUAUUUAUUUUUGCUUAUAAGAGACUUUAUUUAUUGAUGGAUUUUCAUGCUUUGAAUAUUUUAACAUUUUAAUCUCAACUGGCUGUUGUCGCGGCAGAUAAUUUUGUAUAAUCAAUCGGCUGCCUGUAAGAAGGGAGAGGUCAGUAACUGUAACUAUCAAUCUUCUUCUGACAUUGCUCACUCUUUCAUCAUCAUUCUUACCUCAUAUUUCUUCAUGGCAAUUUUACACUUUAGUAUCGUCAGCCAAACUCUUAACGUUCAUGAAUGGAGCUCACAGCCUGGCCGGGAAAGUGGUAACCUCGCUGUUAAUCGCUCAUUUGAUAAUCCAAGUCGUAGGAAGUAUUCUGGUAAAUCUCGUCUAGCUGAUGUAAUGGACUUGCUUGAACAGCGUCGUUUCGAGAAGCCGGGCAAGCUGAGCGCUGUUUUCUGACCGCUUGUUCGAAGAACGUGACGUCACACAACAAAGAUGAACGCGACAGGCACACCUCAGAAUGACUUGCACAUUGGGUGUCAAUUAAUCAGUACUGCUAACCACAAGAACUAGUUUGUGUGUGCGUAUAUAUAGAUAGAUAUAUAGAUAGAUAGAUAGAUAGAUAGAUAGAUAUACAUACACACAUAUAUACAUGUGUGUGUGUGUGUGUGUGUGUGUGUGUGUGUGUGUGUGUGUGUGUGUGUGUGUGUGUGUGUGUGUGUGUGUGUGCACAUAUAUAUAUAGAGAGAUAGGUAAAUAUAGAUACACACAUAGAUAGUUAGUGUUACAGUCCUAAUACGGAACAGGUCAGGGUAUGGCAGUGACUGGCGCGGUGGCGAGUUAUGGAGCUCCCUGCGGGUACUUGCGGAAAGAGCAUUUCUAGGCCUAUAUAUGUUAAUUGUUUGUUAAUAGAUGUCAAGAGUUAUGAUUUGUUCCAACUUCCAUCCAAAUAGGAAAUUAACACAGUGUAAAAUGUGCAGAUCGUAAAUAUAUACGAGUGUUUGUCAGACGGCUACUCCGGCAGCUGAAGCAUUCUUUUCACACCAUUGUUUUAUUCAUUAUUUAUCCCUAUAUCACUACUUAUAAUAAACUUUUGUUAUUGGUAACAGUUUAUUAUAAUUACUCUUGUUAUUGGAAAGAACUUGAUUUUUACGAAGGAAAAUCCUCCGUUAACAAAGAGGAAUGGAAGUGAUGAAGAGAAAUGAUAACGAGUUGGAAAGUAUAAUGAACAGAACUGAAAAUUAUUAGUGUAUAAUGAACAAUACAUACGCCUAGAUAUAACAUAUGGAGGCCUGACCAUACGUAACUGAAAUUGAAACACUGUAAAUAUUUUCUUAUUUGGAUGUUUUAUAAAUUUAAUUUGCAGUAAUCAUGAGCGCCUUUAAAUUUGACGAGUUUGUAGAAUGUCCUUCAUUAGAUGAUAUUAAGGACUGUGGCGUAAAGAAAUCCGACUGGGUUCAGUUAGUUCGGCAUUUUGACGUAACAAUUCGAGCAGCGUGGCGGAAGAGUGAAAUUGAAAAAGCGGUUAUUGUUCAUUUAGUAGCAUCUGGCCUGCUUGAAGAUGACGCAUUGGUGUUGUGGGAUUCUGACGAUAAGAGUUUACGGAUAAUAGAGAUUGAGUUAGAGAGAGAGAAAAUAAAAGACAGAGAAAGAGAGCGAAAUUUUCAUUUAUAAUUAAUGUUAAGAAAAAGGGAGUAUGAUUUUGAUCCCUCGAGGGUAAUUAGGUUCGUCCCAAAUUUUGACGAGUCUGAUCCUGAGGAAUUUUUCGGACAGUUUGACCACGUGGCAAACACUUUGAAGUGGCCCAUACUUGUUCAGUCAAGUCUAAAACGGAAGUGGCGUUCUGUCUAUCUCUCUCUGGCUGGAUCCCAACAAAAUUUCUAUAUUGCAAACUCGUUGGUUAUCUGCAAGCCAUGUUAAUGAUUAUAAAAUAUUAAAAGAACUUGAACAAUUCAUAAGGGGGGUGUCGCCAGAAAUUCGCAUGUACCUGCUGGAGCGUGACGUCGAUACCAUUGAGAGAGCAGCCUUGUUAGCUGAGAAUUUGAAUUUGAUUCCUAAAAGUAAAGUAAAUAUACCAAUUAUAUAUCAUCCCUCCGCUUUCGCUCCGUCUGUGGAUGGUAAGUCAGUUGGGCAGGAUAGCAUGAAUUCUGACUUUGGAGGCGAGGCAGGUCGCAAAGCUUUCUGAUGUAACGUAAUAGGAAUGGUCGUGGUUGACGACUAGCUAUUGUACUGUAUUUAGGAAUAUUGUACACUGUAUUUAGGAAUACAACAUCCUAGAUGGCUUUUGCUAUCUAAUAGUGGGUUGCGAUAAUAGAUACUUAAUAUAAGUACGAAUUUGCAUGGAAAUAACCGAGGCAAGAGGAAUGCAUCUUGUCUCUCGAUAAAUGACUACUAUAGAUCUUCGAAAACUCAGUUGUACCUAUUCAAUUCCUGUCACGUGAGAGGUGUCGUGUAAGCCGGAAAAGACGAAAGGACGACUCAAACAAGGUCUAUAUACUUAUAAGACCUUGUGCUCAAAUACCCUAAUGGCCACGGGAAAAGAUAGCGCUGCCGUUACACUUUCCAUUUCACGCAGUCCACAGUCGAGUUGUUCACAUGGACCGACACUUCUUUGCCCAUUUCACAUAGGCCGUAACGUGCGUAUUGAGUUGUUUCCAGGACACAUUCUGAAUCCCUUUUACACAAAAAUAGCCUUCAAUUCCGAUGAUCAAAAGUAGAGACAGAUAAAUCCUGCCGCUUGAUUCUCUUUCCACACAUAUUUGAAGAGCUGAUGCCAAACGUUUGACUCCACCCUAUUCCUGGGAAUCUACAGCAUUUUACAGUUUUUUCUAUACCUUUACACACUACUUUGGGUUUCUACAUAUUGCAAAAUCGCAACUAAUAUAAAAUGCAAGCUUAUAUUAUCUUUUAAGUGCCAUUAUAGCUAUGCCUUGUAUGAAAAUGAGAAAAAAAAGAGUGACAUCUAGUAAGCAACCCCCAAAACAGCAGUUCUUUCGGACUUUUAAAAGUGGAGAUAUCACCAUUACUGUUCAAUACGAAUUAUAUCUAAAUUAUGGUAUGAUUUUACUGUUCUGUAUGGCUCCACGCCUACAGUGUAGCCCUUGUCGUAAAAAUAGUGUCGUGACGGUGGAAAUUAGGGUUUACACAUCUAAACCUUUCCAAGUAAUGAAAACAAAUAAAAUCAAAAUGCGAAUGUUCCUUUUAACUUAUGGUUGUAGAAUAAAACAGAUUACAUAUCAAUGGUGAAAUGCAUUAUGCGGAGGUCUGCUUCAAAGUCACAAGACAAUUUCGGCGACUUCGGACACCGUGAAUGAUUGACUCGUGUCACUGGAUUCGUCAAAUCAAACAUGCUUGUUAAUGCAGAAUUAAAGUGUAAAAUAUAAUGACAAUGAGAGUUGUAGCAACACAAUAUUUUAGUAGUAUCAUAAAGUAUAUGUUAAUGUAAUAAAAGCAGUUUUAGUGUGUAAAAUGAAGUUAAAGGUCGUUCCAACUUCAUUAGUUUUUUCUUUCUUAUUUUCAGAUAUCUGAAGAAAAAAAACAAUAUGACGAAAUAUGUAACCUACGGAAAAUAUUUUAAAUGUAUGUAUCGUGCUUUAUAUAACCAUUGCCUUCUUACAUACAUAUGAGGUUAGCUGUUAGAUUACAUACUUGAGCUGUCUCUUCCGGCGAUUUCGGCUUACGCGACAGGAAUUGAAUGGGUGGUAAUCAUUUAUCGAGUUGCCAAGUGCAUUCCUCUUGCCUCGGGUAUUUUCAUGCAAAUUCGCACUUACAUUGGGUAUCUAUAUCACAGUACAAUCCACCAGUGAAAUUUAUAAAUACUCGUACUCGCAUAACAGAGUAUAAAGAAAAGGAGAAAAAAAGACUAACCGAAAUGGAUUUGAGGCGAGGGUGAUGCUAAAGCUCGAAAUUAAAAACUGCAUGUCAGAAAGCAGCACCUACGCAUGCAGUCAAUUCGCCACCGUUUCUCGAAGCUGGAAUUCCAAUUCCUUUCUGCAAAGCCGUGAAGUCAUGUUGCCUUUAUCGAUCUGGGAUACAGUUCAUGUCUUUCAGGGGAGUGCGUUGUAUUAAUGAAUUCUGGAGAACCAUGAGGAAUGAUUCUAUUGAUGUACUGAUAUGCUUUAUGAAAGUCCAUAAGAAUCAAGUGUUUAUGAUGUCAGAUUUUAAUAGGAUUUUGUUCCUACAUUAUUGUUAUUCAACUUUUUUCCUAUCUUUUCAUAUCCCUCUUUGCUCGAGAAGUUGAUACAAUGUGUCUCUUAAUAUAACAUUAAUCAUAGAGUUUCGUCAUUCAACAUCAAUAAUUUACGUCCCUUCGUUUUGUUUGUGUGACUGCUUGUUGCUUUCGUCAAGCUAUGAUUUACCUCCAUUCUUAUCAUAACAUGACUUGCGUAACAGUAAGAUAGAUGAUCGAAUGGAGAUUAGAUUACAACGCAUCAACAAAACUCGAUAAUUUCAAAUUCGAACCUCAGUGACAAGCACUUCUUCAUAAUACUAAUACAAGUCGGGUUCCAUUACAGGCCAAAAUCAGCAAGAAAACCUGUUGAAACCAUGUCAGACUGUGAAGAUUGCUGUGACAUUGAUUGCUGUGAUGGAGAAAUUUGCUGUGAUUUCUGUUUCGAAGUCGUUGAAGAAGUGGAUGAUAAUAAAAAGAAAGAGGAGAAGAAGAAGAAGAAGAAGGAGAAGGGAGAGGAAGAUUACUCAGAUGUCGUGACAUCGCAGCCAACUGCUUCGCAAAACGGAUAAAGGAAAUGGAAAGAUAAUCGCUAAUGAUGGUAGAACUGGAGAAAGAUGGAAGAAAGGGGAGGUAAAGAGACUGGCAAAAAAUAGUUAUGAAUAUAUUAAUGUGUUUGUAUAUAUACUCAUAAAUAUACAUGAAAUGAGUAUCUGAUUGGAAUAGUUUAACGAUAAUUUUUGUUUGAUAUAACAGUAAAUUCUAAUUUUGAGGUUAAGAUGAAAUAAAAUACUACUUAAUAAGCUUAUCAAUCUCCACAAUACGUGUUAUAAAUUAUCAUAAUCACAGCUGAUAGCUAUUGAGCCAAUCUGUUACGAGAACUAACGUGAAGGUAAUUUCAGUUUCUCAAGCGGGUAAGUGAAAAUCGUAAUAAACAGAAUUCUCAGAAGUCUUUAAGUAAGAAAUAUGUAAAAAUCUACAAUUGAGCCUUUGCCCCCAAGGAAACUCUCUGUCGGGAGCACUUACAAUUUCACACACACACACACACAAAAAAAAAAAAAAAAAAAUCCGCUUGCCAUGAUCUCUCCUACAUAUUCGGCAUUACCCACCUAUAAUCUUCGUGCCUAACGCAAUUCGUCGGUAACAUAAGAAUUUGUUAGUUUCAUUAUAUAACCAUUUCAUGCAGAUCUCAAAGACAUUGCGACUAGCCUCCUCUCAGUAAGGCAUCCCUCUUUUUACAUGUCUCCUUUAUAUUGCCAAGUACACUACGCAUGUAUAAGGACUCUUCCCAGAUCCUUUGCCUAAAUUAAUUAUGUAUUUGGGCUGCAAUUAGUCUAAAGUCCGUAUGCAGGGAUUACAUCUUAUUUCUAUGGUGUUCUAGGAUCAAACCUCACCGACGCGCACAGGGAAUUCCACCCACUCCCUUGUUUUCCCCACCGCGACACCGCAAGCGUCCUGUCUCCUUCACUUUUGUUCUUUUCCUCUCCCUAUUAUAACUAUGUGCUUUAAAUCUCGCGUAUUAUUAUUUUGAUUUUAGGAUGCCUUACCGAAUAACAAUUCUUUAUACGCGACCAAAGUCUGCGUGUACUCCCGAUCGGACUUACAGUCAACAGAGAACUAAAAAUAAAUAAGUAAUAAAAAUGAUAAAAAAAGAUCACAGACCGGAGACAGCCUAACUAAAAAACGGAAAAAAGGAAAAGAUUACAGACUGAAGAAUGUAAGGAAAAUUAUUCAAAUUAUAUUUAUAUAUAUAUAUAAUCAAAUAAAUUCGAACUGAGUGAUGUAAUUUCCAUACGCGAAAUCCAUCUGUUCAUUUUUUAUUAUCAUUCAAAUCUUUAGUUUGUAUUGUUCGUUCGUUUCUUUAUUAUAGGUGAGAAAAAGAUUCAAAAUGGGAAUGUUUAAUGAAAAAAGUAUGUAAUAUGAUACUAUUAUUUCUUAGAAUAUAAAUAACACAGUAACCUACGAUCAUAAAAAAAAACAUAUGUAAUGGUAUAAGUAACAAGAAAUUAAUUAUUGUAACAACAGUGGAUGGCAGAAAUGACAGUAUUGAUAAAAUAUAAUACUAUAUUAUUAUUAUCCUAACCCCAUACGAACACAAAGAAAGAGCAGAAGAAAACAGAAAAGGGAGAAGAGGAGACAAUAUUAUAUUAAAUAAUAUAUCUAAUAUGUUAUAUUAAAUAAAGAUCAUAAUGAACAGAAAGCAGUAAUAUAAUGAUAAUAAUAAUAAUAAACGGGAUAAUCAAAAGAUAAAACUAAAAAGAGAGAUUCGUGAACGUAGGUCUACCCAAGGGAACUCAAAGUAUAUAAUUUUUUUCUUUGGAUUUAUUGCCUUGACGAAUGGGUAAUAUUGUGAGUAAAGAUUAUGAUAAUGUACCUUUAACACAAUAAAAUUGCAUUGAUA